rnacentral:rRNA from 1 species
UAACCUGCCCAAGAGACUGGGAUAACACCUGGAAACAGAUGCUAAUACCGGAUAACAACACUAGACGCAUGUCUAGAGUUUAAAAGAUGGUUCUGCUAUCACUCUUGGAUGGACCUGCGGUGCAUUAGCUAGUUGGUAAGGUAACGGCUUACCAAGGCAAUGAUGCAUAGCCGAGUUGAGAGACUGAUCGGCCACAUUGGGACUGAGACACGGUCCAAACUCCUACGGGAGGCAGCAGGC